rnacentral:rRNA from 1 species
AGUACCCCGAGGAAAAGAAAUCAACCGAGAUUCCCCCAGUAGCGGCGAGCGAACGGGGAGCAGCCCAGAGCCUGAAUCAGUGUGUGUGUUAGUGGAAGCGUCUGGAAAGGCGUGCGAUACAGGGUGACAGCCCCGUACACAAAAAUGCACAUGCUGUGAGCUCGAUGAGUAGGGCGGGACACGUGGUAUCCUGUCUGAAUAUGGGGGGACCAUCCUCCAAGGCUAAAUACUCCUGACUGACCGAUAGUGAACCAGUACCGUGAGGGAAAGGCGAAAAGAACCCCGGCGAGGGGAGUGAAAAAGAACCUGAAACCGUGUACGUACAAGCAGUGGGAGCCUCUUUUAUGGGGUGACUGCGUACCUUUUGUAUAAUGGGUCAGCGACUUAUAUUCUGUAGCAAGGUUAACCGAAUAGGGGAGCCGAAGGGAAACCGAGUCUUAACUGGGCGUUAAGUUGCAGGGUAUAGACCCGAAACCCGGUGAUCUAGCCAUGGGCAGGUUGAAGGUUGGGUAACACUAACUGGAGGACCGAACCGACUAAUGUUGAAAAAUUAGCGGAUGACUUGUGGCUGGGGGUGAAAGGCCAAUCAAACCGGGAGAUAGCUGGUUCUCCCCGAAAGCUAUUUAGGUAGCGCCUCGUGAAUUCAUCUCCGGGGGUAGAGCACUGUUUCGGCAAGGGGGUCAUCCCGACUUACCAACCCGAUGCAAACUGCGAAUACCGGAGAAUGUUAUCACGGGAGACACACGGCGGGUGCUAACGUCCGUCGUGAAGAGGGAAACAACCCAGACCGCCAGCUAAGGUCCCAAAGUCAUGGUUAAGUGGGAAACGAUGUGGGAAGGCCCAGACAGCCAGGAUGUUGGCUUAGAAGCAGCCAUCAUUUAAAGAAAGCGUAAUAGCUCACUGGUCGAGUCGGCCUGCGCGGAAGAUGUAACGGGGCUAAACCAUGCACCGAAGCUGCGGCAGCGACGCUUAUGCGUUGUUGGGUAGGGGAGCGUUCUGUAAGCCUGUGAAGGUGUGCUGUGAGGCAUGCUGGAGGUAUCAGAAGUGCGAAUGCUGACAUAAGUAACGAUAAAGCGGGUGAAAAGCCCGCUCGCCGGAAGACCAAGGGUUCCUGUCCAACGUUAAUCGGGGCAGGGUGAGUCGACCCCUAAGGCGAGGCCGAAAGGCGUAGUCGAUGGGAAACAGGUUAAUAUUCCUGUACUUGGUGUUACUGCGAAGGGGGGACGGAGAAGGCUAUGUUGGCCGGGCGACGGUUGUCCCGGUUUAAGCGUGUAGGCUGGUUUUCCAGGCAAAUCCGGAAAAUCAAGGCUGAGGCGUGAUGACGAGGCACUACGGUGCUGAAGCAACAAAUGCCCUGCUUCCAGGAAAAGCCUCUAAGCAUCAGGUAACAUCAAAUCGUACCCCAAACCGACACAGGUGGUCAGGUAGAGAAUACCAAGGCGCUUGAGAGAACUCGGGUGAAGGAACUAGGCAAAAUGGUGCCGUAACUUCGGGAGAAGGCACGCUGAUAUGUAGGUGAAGUCCCUCGCGGAUGGAGCUGAAAUCAGUCGAAGAUACCAGCUGGCUGCAACUGUUUAUUAAAAACACAGCACUGUGCAAACACGAAAGUGGACGUAUACGGUGUGACGCCUGCCCGGUGCCGGAA